GCCCUUGUGGUCCAGUUGGUAGGAUAGGUCACUUGUAAUGACUUGGCCUGUGUUCGAGUCACAGCGGGGGCC
rnacentral:tRNA from 1 species